AUUGAACGCUGGCGGCAUGCCUUACACAUGCAAGUCGAACGGCAGCACGGGAGCAAUCCUGGUGGCGAGUGGCGAACGGGUGAGUAAAGUAUCGGAACGUGCCCAGUCGUGGGGGAUAACGUAGCGAAAGUUACGCUAAUACCGCAUACGAUCUAUGGAUGAAAGCGGGGGAUCGCAAGACCUCGCGCGAUUGGAGCGGCCGAUAUCAGAGUAGGUAGUUGGGGGGGUAAAGGCUCACCAAGCCGACGAUCUGUAGCUGGUCUGGGAGGACGACCAGCCACACUGGGACUGAGACACGGCCCAGACUCCUACGGGAGGCAGCAGUGGGGAAUUUUGGACAAUGGGCGAAAGCCUGAUCCAGCCAUGCCGCGUGCAGGAUGAAGGCCUUCGGGUUGUAAGCUGCUUUUGUACGGAACGAAAAGGUUUGGCCUAAUAAGCUGAGCUCAUGACGGUACCGUAAGAAUAAGCACCGGCUAACUACGUGCCAGCCGCCGCGGUAA
rnacentral:rRNA from 1 species